GACGAACGCUGGCGGCGUGCUUAACACAUGCAAGUCGAACGGAAAGGCCCUGCUUUUGUGGGGUGCUCGAGUGGCGAACGGGUGAGUAACACGUGAGUAACCUGCCCUUGACUUUGGGAUAACUUCAGGAAACUGGGGCUAAUACCGGAUAGGAGCUCCUGCUGCAUGGUGGGGGUUGGAAAGUUUCGGCGGUUGGGGAUGGACUCGCGGCUUAUCAGCUUGUUGGUGGGGUAGUGGCUUACCAAGGCUUUGACGGGUAGCCGGCCUGAGAGGGUGACCGGCCACAUUGGGACUGAGAUACGGCCCAGACUCCUACGGGAGGCAGCAGUGGGGAAUAUUGCACAAUGGGCGGAAGCCUGAUGCAGCAACGCCGCGUGCGGGAUGACGGCCUUCGGGUUGUAAACCGCUUUCGCCUGUGACGAAGCGUGAGUGACGGUAAUGGGUAAAGAAGCACCGGCUAACUACGUGCCAGCAGCCGCGGUGAUACGUAGGGUGCGAGCGUUGUCCGGAUUUAUUGGGCGUAAAGGGCUCGUAGGUGGUUGAUCGCGUCGGAAGUGUAAUCUUGGGGCUUAACCCUGAGCGUGCUUUCGAUACGGGUUGACUUGAGGAAGGUAGGGGAGAAUGGAAUUCCUGGUGGAGCGGUGGAAUGCGCAGAUAUCAGGAGGAACACCAGUGGCGAAGGCGGUUCUCUGGUCCUUUCCUGACGCUGAGGAGCGAAAGCGUGGGGAGCGAACAGGCUUAGAUACCCUGGUAGUCCACGCUGUAAACGGUGGGUACUAGGUGUGGGGUCCAUUCCACGGGUUCCGUGCCGUAGCUAACGCUUUAAGUACCCCGCCUGGGGAGUACGGCCGCAAGGCUAAAACUCAAAGGAAUUGACGGGGCCCCGCACAAGCGGCGGAGCAUGCGGAUUAAUUCGAUGCAACGCGUAGAACCUUACCUGGGUUUGACAUGGAUCGGGAGUGCUCAGAGAUGGGUGUGCCUCUUUUGGGGUCGGUUCACAGGUGGUGCAUGGCUGUCGUCAGCUCGUGUCGUGAGAUGUUGGGUUAAGUCCCGCAACGAGCGCAACCCUUGUUCACUGUUGCCAGCACGUUAUGGUGGGGACUCAGUGGAGACCGCCGGGGUCAACUCGGAGGAAGGUGGGGAUGACGUCAAGUCAUCAUGCCCCUUAUGUCUAGGGCUUCACGCAUGCAACAAUGGCUGGUACAGAGAGUGGCGAGCCUGUGAGGGUGAGCGAAUCUCGGAAAGCCGGUCUCAGUUCGGAUUGGGGUCUGCAACUCGACCUCAUGAAGUCGGAGUCGCUAGUAAUCGCAGAUCAGCAACGCUGCGGUGAAUACGUUCCCGGGGCU
rnacentral:rRNA from 1 species